CAAUUACUCAAUUAUUGAUAUGUUUUGGCUGUGUCCCCACCCAAACCUCAUCUUGAAUUGUAACUCCCAUAAUUCCCACGUGUCAUGGGGGGAACCUGGUGGGAGGUGAUUGAAUUAUGGGAGCGGGUAUUUCCUGUGCUGUUCUCGUGAUAGUGAAUGAAUCUCACAAGAUCUGAUGGUUUUAAAAGAUGGGAGUUUGCCUGCACAAGCUCUCUCUUUGCCUGCCACCCUGUAAGAUAUGACUUGCUCCUCCUUGCCUUCCACCCUGUUUGUGAGGCUUCCCUGGUCACAUGGAACUUUGCUUGUUGCAUGCCUUCUAAACAGCCUACCCUGCCAAGUGCCAUGAUUACUGUGACCACAUCUUCAGAACCAGAAAACAGGAUACCUGGCCCUAAGCAUGCACUCAUGGAGCAGAAGAGUUUUAAAUCUGGAAUGCCACAGAAGACAGAAGAUAACAUGCUUACUACACUUGUAAAGCAACAUGCAGCCAGCCAUUUCCAGUGCAAAUUAUCUCAUUGCAUAGUGUGACAACUAAAGUCUCUCAUCUCUGCACACAGGGAGAAAAGCCCGCUGACCCUGUGAGGCUGGUCCCUACAUCUGGCGCUCCGACAUGGGGCUCUCCCUCGCUGUGUGAAGUUGCACCUUGAGUGCGGGACUCAGCAGAGGAUUUCGACGACAGAUUCCUGAGGAUUGCGGUCAAUAAGCUUGGUGUCUGCAGAUGCCUCCAAGGAGUCCGGAAACAAGUCCAAAGUCAACGACAAGCAAUGAUGGUGAUGGCGAUCCUAGUUAAUAAAAAGGGGGCAGAUGUGGGUGGCAAGCCAAUCAGGUGCCAAGGCAAGAGACCGAGGGCACGAGCUGUUCCAAUAUAAUAAAAUAUAUAAAACAACAAGAGUUAUACUAGAUCUAGAUCAUAGACAUGAUUAUACAUGAAUAUCAUUAAUCAUUAGUUUGUAGCAAUUACGCUUUAUUCCAAUAUUAUAAUAAUCCUCGCUCUACAAUCAUAACCUAGGAAAAGCCAGGCCAUACAGAGAUAGGAGCUGAGGAGACAUGGUGAGAAGUGACCAGAAGACAAGAGUGUGAGCCCUCUGUCAAGUCCAGACAGGGCCACUAGAGGGCUCCUUGGUCUAGCGGUAACGCCAGCAUCUGGGAAGACGCCUGUUGCCAAGUGGACCAUGGUCUAGUGGUAGCGUCAGUGCCAAGGAAAAACACCCGCUACUUAGCAGACCAGGAAAGGGAGUCUCCCUUUCCCUGGGGGAGUUUAGAGAAGACUCUACUUCUCCACCUCUUGAGGAGGGCCUGACAUCAGUCAGGCCCACCCACAGUUAUCCGGAGGCCUGUCUCCCUGUGAUGCUGUGCUUCAGUGGUCAUGCUCCUAGUCUGCUGUCAUGUUCCAUCCUGUGCACCUGGCUCUGCCUUUUAGAUAGCAGUAGCAAAAUUGGUUAAAGUACUAAAAGUCUCUGAUAUGCAGAAAUAAUGGUGUAAGCUGUCUCCUCUCUCCGCCUCAGCUGCCAAACAGGGAAGGGCCCCCUGUCCAGUGGACACGUGACCCACGUGACCUUACCUAUCAUUGGAGAUGGCUCACACUCCUUACCCUACCCCUAUGUCUUGUAUCCAAUAAAUAUCAGCACAGCCUGGCAUUUGGGGCCACUACCGGUCUCCAUGUCUUGGUGGUAGUGGUGCCCUGGGCCCAGCUGCCUUUUCUUUUAUC
rnacentral:lncRNA from 10 species